rnacentral:rRNA from 1 species
CCCUUAGAUGUUCUGGGCAGCACGCGCGCUACAAUGGUCUUCGCAAACGGAUGCAUUCUCGAAGGAGAAUGCCAAUCUUGGAAUCUAUGCCUUGGUCGGGACAGUUGCUUGCAAUUUUUCGACUCGAACCAGGAAUUCCUUGUAAUCGUGAUUCAUCACAUCACGAUGAAUACGUCCCUGCCCUUUGUACACACCGCCCGUCGCUCCUACCGAUCGAAGAGUUAGGUGAAUUUUUUUGAUCGAUAAGAUUUGACUAUGGUCAACUCUCGUUGUGAAAUUCUGUGAAUCUGACUGUUUAGAGGAAGGAAAAGUCGUAACA